AUUGAACGCUGGCGGAAUGCUUUACACAUGCAAGUCGAACGGCAGCACGGACUUCGGUCUGGUGGCGAGUGGCGAACGGGUGAGUAAUAUAUCGGAACGUAUCCAAUAAUGGGGGAUAACUAAUCGAAAGGUUGGCUAAUACCGCAUACGUCCUACGGGAGAAAGCUAGGGACCUUCGGGCCUGGCGUUAAUGGAGCGGCCGAUAUCGGAUUAGCUAGUUGGUGAGGUAAAGGCUCACCAAGGCGACGAUCGGUAGCUGGUCUGAGAGGACGACCAGCCACACUGGAACUGGGACACGGUCCAGACUCCUACGGGAGGCAGCAGUGGGGAAUUUUGGACAAUGGGCGAAAGCCUGAUCCAGCCAUUCCGCGUGAGUGAAGAAGGCCUUCGGGUUGUAAAGCUCUUUCGCAAGAGAAGAAAACUUACCCUCUAACAUAGGGUGAGGUUGACGGUAUCUUGAUAAGAAGCACCGGCUAACUACGUGCCAGCCGCCGCCGUAA
rnacentral:rRNA from 1 species